CACGUAGGGAGCAAGCGUUGUCCGGAAUUAUUGGGCGUAAAGAGCUCGUAGGCGGUCUGUUGCGUCCGCUGUGAAAACUCGGGGCUUAACCCCGAGCCUGCAGUGGAUACGGGCAGACUAGAGGUAGGUAGGGGAGAAUGGAAUUCCCGGUGUAGCGGUGAAAUGCGCAGAUAUCAGGAAGAACACCCGUGGCGAAGGCGGUUCUCUGGGACGGUACUGACGCUGAGACGCGAAAGCGUGGGGAGCGAACAGG
rnacentral:rRNA from 1 species